GAUGAACGCUGGCGGCGUGCCUAAUACAUGCAAGUCGAGCGAACGGACGAGAAGCUUUCUUCUCUGAUGUUAGCGGCGGACGGGUGAGUAACACGUAGAUAACCUACCUAUAAGACUGGGAUAACUUCGGGAAACCGGAGCUAAUACCGGAUAAUAUUUUGAACCGCACGGUUCAAAAGUGAAAGACGGUCUUGCUGUCACUUAUAGAUGGAUCCGCGCUGCAUUAGCUAGUUGGUAAGGUAACGGCUUACCAAGGCAACGAUGCAUAGCCGACCUGAGAGGGUGAUAGGCAAAACUGGAACUGAGACACGGUCCAGACUCCUACGGGAGGCAGAAGGAGGGAAUCUGCAGAAAUGGGCGAAAGCCUGACGGAGCAACGCGGCGUGAGUGAUGAAGGUCUUCGGAUCGUAAAACUCUGUUAUUAGGGAAGAACAUAUGUGUAAGUAACUGUGCACAUCUUGACGGUACCAAAUCAGAAAGCCACGGCUAACUCCGU
rnacentral:rRNA from 1 species